rnacentral:rRNA from 1 species
AUUGAACGCUGGCGGAAUGCUUUACACAUGCAAGUCGAGCGGCAGCGCGGGGCAACCUGGCGGCGAGCGGCGAACGGGUGAGUAAUGCAUCGGAACAUGUCCAUGUCGUGGGGGAUAGCCCGGCGAAAGCCGGAUUAAUACCGCAUACGCCCGAGAGGGGAAAGCCGGGGACCGCAAGGCCUGGCGCGAUUGGGUUGGCCGAUGUCCGAUUAGCUAGUUGGUGGGGUAAAGGCCCACCAAGGCGAUGAUCGGUAGCUGGUCUGAGAGGAUGAUCAGCCACACUGGGACUGAGACACGGCCCAGACUCCUACGGGAGGCAGCAGUGGGGAAUUUUGGACAAUGGGGGAAACCCUGAUCCAGCCAUUCCGCGUGAGUGAAGAAGGCCUCGG